rnacentral:rRNA from 1 species
GACGAACGCUGGCGGCGUGCUUAACACAUGCAAGUCGAACGGAAAGGCCUCUUUCGGGGGGUACUCGAGUGGCGAACGGGUGAGUAACACGUGAGUAACCUGCCCUCGACUUUGGGAUAACUUCAGGAAACUGGGGCUAAUACCGGAUAGGAGCUCCUGCUGCAUGGUGGGGGUUGGAAAGUUUCGGCGGUUGGGGAUGGACUCGCGGCUUAUCAGCUUGUUGGUGGGGUAGUGGCUUACCAAGGCUUUGACGGGUAGCCGGCCUGAGAGGGUGACCGGCCACAUUGGGACUGAGAUACGGCCCAGACUCCUACGGGAGGCAGCAGUGGGGAAUAUUGCACAAUGGGUGGAAGCCUGAUGCAGCAACGCCGGGUGCGGGAUGACGGCCUUCGGGUUGUAAACCGCUUUCGCUCAUGACGAAGCUUUGUGUGACGGUAGUGGGUAAAGAAGCACCGGCUAACUACGUG